GUUCAACUUUAUCCCUUAGGGAACUGGUUCAACUUUAUCCCUUAGGGAACUGGUUCAACUUUAUCCCUUAGGGAACUGGUUCAACUUUAUCCCUUAGGGAACUGGUUCAAGGCUGUAGUAGUUUGACUGCCGUUUACUUAUGUUUUUUUGUGUUUUUUUUUUAAUGCACCAACAAUAAUGUAGAAUACUGUACUAGAGACCUUUUUGUUUCCGUGUUAAAAGCCUUCGCAAGCUGUUUUUGUAACGCUUCAGCCGCGGCUCAUAUAACUAGAAUGCUGACUCAUAAUCAGACCGACUGCUUCCUUACUAGCGCUUCUCCGACCGUCGACUGACUGCUUCCACACUGGGAAGUAUGGUUCCAAUCCAACACCCACCCCGCAGACCAGUGCUCUGUCUCACUUCCCUCCCCUUCUUCAGUGUUUCCGACGGCCCGCCUCAGCUCCUUCAGAGUUUUGAAGCACAGGCGGGUCAAAGGAAGAAGCUUUAAGGACAAAUAAUGACGUGCGUGUGUUGUGUAAUGGAGAGAGCGUUUGUCACUGCUGCCGCUCUGGGCAGAAGAGCGAAAGAUCGAGAGGGAGAGAGGGAAACACUGAGAGAGAGGACAGUUUGUUCUUUCCUCUUAGUGUUUGCGCCCUGUCCACGGUGAACUUAACAGGCAGGAAUCUAAACACCCCACUCCCUCUCUCUCUGUCCCUCCCUCUCUGUCUCUCUCCCCCUCUCUGUCUCUCUCUGUCUCUCUCUGUCUCUCUCCCCCUCUCUCUCUCUCUCUGUCUCUCCCCCUCUCUCUCUGUCUCUCCCCCUCUCUCUCUGUCUCUCCCUGUCUCUCCCUGUCUCUCCCCCUCUCUCUCUGUCUCUCCCCCUCUCUCUCUGUCUCUCCCCCUCUCUCUCUGUCUCUCCCCCUCUCUCUCUGUCUCUUCCCCUCUCUCUCUGUCUCUUCCCCUCUCUCUGUCUUCCCCUCUCUCUGUCUUCCCCUCUCUCUGUCUUCCCCUCUCUCUGUCUUCCCCUCUCUCUGUCUUCCCCUCUCUCUGUCUUCCCUCCCUCUCUGUCUCCCUCUCUCUGUCCCUCCCUCUGUGUGGCUCACAAACGUAAAGUGCAAACACUUCUCUGUUUUCACUGGAGCUAGGAUUAUUUACUUUCUCUGGUUUUGUUUUAUAUGCAGAACCAGAGAGAAAUUGAUUUGAUAAGUGGGAACUGCAUAGCCAGUAGUGAGCGUGUUUGUUUUAGUGUCUGUCCGAGUCAAUGCUUGUGUGUGCGUGCAUGUUUGUCUGUGUCUGUCGAGUCACGAGUGUGUAUCUGUGUGUGCAAGCAUUUGUGUGUGUUUCUGGGCUAAUUGAAGUUAAAAUGGUCAGGCCGGCUCCCCAGUGGGCUGAUCAGCGUGCAGCUGAAGCCUGGGAGAGACCUUUUGUUCUCUCACUUCCUCCAUGGAGAACACUCACAGAAACUAACCGCUGCUCUCUGGCAACACAGCGUCUACAUCUCAAAUGGCAUCCUAUUCCCUAUUAUAGUACAUAUGGCCCUGGUCAAAGGUAGUGCACUAUGAAGGAAAAAGGGUGCCAUUUAGGAUGUCCUCAAGCUAUUUAUGACCAGCAGGGUCACAGAAUGUGUUCCUCUCAUUAAAUUCAAUAGCAUUUCAAAAUGUUUUAGUUCCACAGUUCAAACAACUUGCUCCCAUGUUUGUUUGCUACUUUUGUUCCGUGACUUGUAUGAAUACACGUAUGAAUCCAUUUCCAGGAGAGAAGGUUUAUCCAUAACCAUAGCUGCUCCUCCUAAGGUCGGGCUAAUUUACCGGUUGUGUCUCUGCAACAGAGCCAAGCUCUCUUGUUUUUUGUAGUUGAUCUGGCAUCACUUUGCUGCUUCCAAAUUCAGGCUACAUUACAAACGGCACCCACUUCCCUAUAUAGGGCACUUCUUUUGACCAGGCCCCCAUAGGGCUGUGGUCAAAAGUAGUGCACUAUGUAGGAAAUGGCGUGCCUUUUUCUGACGUUGACUUACACCGGCACUAUUUGGUCUUUUGACCAAUCACAUCAGAUCUUUUUUCAGAGCUGGUCUGAUUGGUCAAAAGACCAAUUAGUGAGAGAGAAAAAAUCUGAAUCGGGCUGCCUGUAAACGCAGCCAAUAUUUCUGUCCCGUAUCUCCUAAUGGUCACAUGCGUCAUUUUGAUGAGUCCGUGAUCUCUCCGAUCAAAGCAGACUCUGACAUGGUCCCUCCUCCCUCCACCACGUGGCUGUCUUAUUUGUCCUUAAAAGGCGCUGAAAUCUGUGCUGCCGUAUACAAUUCAAUUCCACACCCAAUUAGGCUCGAUCUGCAUCAGUUCUACAAUACGAUAAUAUGAAUGUUGCAGGAGUUUAUCCUUCUGUAUUCUUUGUUUCAAAGAAUGUUGUGCCAUUUGUUAAUAGCAAAGAGAAAUAUUGAACAUAUAUUAAAAAGAAGAGCUAUUUUAAAUUAUUUUUUGGCUUUUUUUGCAAUAUUUAUUUUCUUGUAUUAGAGUCUUUGUAGGAGGAAAAACAAAAAAUGUAUUUUUCAUUAGUGCAAAAAACUAUUUUUUUCCUUUUUGUACACUUUCAAUGUUAAGCAAAACGUUAAAAAGCAAUAUGAUGAUGUUCCAUGUGACUGUAUCUGCAUGCUGUUUGUGUUGCCUUAAAGACGGCUGCCUCCACUAUGACCCCCCUCCUCUCCCCGGCACUAUGGUGUGGUUGACCAGUGUAGUCAAUAAAGCAGUGCUUUCUGUGUACCCAUGCUCUGGACCGUCUCUCUGUUCAGUUCACCCGCCACCAUCCCAGGAGCUCAUUUUUAAGGGGCAAUCUGGGAUUCAAAUAACAACAAAGAUACUCCGCCACUUUUUUUUUGGUAAACUGUUGAGGGAUGGGGUACGACAGUUGAACUAAGCUCAUUUCUAAGUGAUAUUCUUAAAGAAUCAAUGGCUGUAUAUCAUUGAAUUAAACGUAUAAAAGAAUGGAUGUACUUUUUUAAAGCGCUGUUCAAGGGUUGAUUGAUUGAGUCACAUUGUGUUGAAUCAAUCUGGGUCUCUACAGACGGACCCAGAGGUAACUAGGCUAGAUACUCCGUUUUACAUGUACUGUUGGUUGUGAGAUAAAGGGACAGUAAAAGGUGACGCUUGUGCCAUCAAACCCUUGAAACUUAUCCAGAAGGCCGCAGCCCGCCUGGAUUUCAACCUCCCCAAGUUCUCCCAUGUCACCCCGCUCCUCUGCCUACUCCACUAGCUUCCAGUUGAAGCUCGCAUCGCCUGGUGUUUGCCUACGGACCUGCAAGGGGAACUGCCCCUCCCUAUCUUCAGGCUAUGCUCAAACCCUACUCCCCAACCCGGGCACAAACCACACAACUCUGGUUUCUUGGUCCUCCAACCUCUACAGGGGUCACCUCCCGCUCUGCCUAGUUAAAGCUUUUCUCUGUCCUGGCUGCCCCCCUCCCCUCCCCCAAUGGUGGAACAAGCUUCCCCUUAACGUCAGGACAGCGGAGUCCCUGCCAAUCUUCCUAAAACCUCUGAAACCCUAC
rnacentral:lncRNA from 1 species